AAUAGAUACCCAGGUAGUCCACCCCGUAAACGUUGGGAACUAGUUGUGGGGUCCAUUCCACGGAUUCCGUGACGCAGCUAACGCAUUAAGUUCCCCGCCUGGGGAGUACGGCCGCAAGGCUAAAACUCAAAGGAAUUGACGGGGACCCGCACAAGCGGCGGAGCAUGCGGAUUAAUUCGAUGCAACGCGAAGAACCUUACCAAGGCUUGACAUAUACGAGAACGGGCCAGAAAUGGUCAACUCUUUGGACACUCGUAAACAGGUGGUGCAUGGUUGUCGUCAGCUCGUGUCGUGAGAUGUUGGGUUAAGUCCCGCAACGAGCGCAACCCUCGUUCUAUGUUGCCAGCACGUAAUGGUGGGAACUCAUGGGAUACUGCCGGGGUCAACUCGGAGGAAGGUGGGGAUGACGUCAAAUCAUCAUGCCCCUUAUGUCUUGGGCUUCACGCAUGCUACAAUGGCCGGUCAAAGGGCUGCAAUACCGUGAGGUGGAGCGAAUCCCAAAAAGCCGGUCCCAGUUCGGAUUGAGGUCUGCAACUCGACCUC
rnacentral:rRNA from 1 species